rnacentral:rRNA from 1 species
UGGGGAAUAUUGGACAAUGGGCGCAAGCCUGAUCCAGCCAUGCCGCGUGAGUGAUGAAGGCCCUAGGGUUGUAAAGCUCUUUCGCCAGGGACGAUAAUGACGGUACCUGGAUAAGAAGCCCCGGCUAACUUCGUGCCAGCAGCCGCGGUAAUACGAAGGGGGCUAGCGUUGUUCGGAAUCACUGGGCGUAAAGCGCACGUAGGCGGAUCUUUAAGUCAGGGGUGAAAUCCCGAGGCUCAACCUCGGAACUGCCUUUGAUACUGGAGGUCUCGAGUCCGGGAGAGGUGAGUGGAACUGCGAGUGUAGAGGUGAAAUUCGUAGAUAUUCGCAAGAACACCAGUGGCGAAGGCGGCUCACUGGCCCGGUACUGACGCUGAGGUGCGAAAGCGUGGGGAGCAAAACAGGAUUAGAUACCCUGGUAGUCCACGCCGUAAAACUAUGGAUGCUAGCCGUUGGGCAGCUUGCUGUUCAGUGGCGCAGCUAACGCUUUAAGCAUCCCGCCUGGGGGAGUACGGUCGCAAGAUUAAAAACUCAAAUGAAUUGACGGGGGUCAUAGCUGUUUCCU